rnacentral:rRNA from 1 species
AAGGCUGAAAUUCGCCUUCAUGAAGCCGGAAUUGCUAGUAAUGGCAGGUCAGCAUACUGCCGUGAAUACGUUCCCGGGGCCCUUGUACACACCGCCCGUCACACCAUGAGAGUUGGAGAUACCCGAAGCCUGUGAGCUAACAAACGAGGCAGCAGUCGAAGGUAGAAUCAAUGAUUGGGGUGAAGUCGUAACAAGGUAAC